GAUGAACGCUGGCGGCGUGCCUAAUACAUGCAAGUCGAGCGAACGGACGAGAAGCUUGCUUCUCUGAUGUUAGCGGCGGACGGGUGAGUAACACGUGGAUAACCUACCUAUAAGACUGGGAUAACUUCGGGAAACCGGAGCUAAUACCGGAUAAUAUUUUGAUCCGCAUGGUUCAAAAGUGAAAGACGGUCUUGCGGUCACUUAUAGAUGGAUCCGCGCUGCAUUAGCUAGUUGGUAAGUUAACGGCUUACCAAGGCAACGAUGCAUAGCCGACCUGAGAGAGUGAUCGGCCACACUGGAACUGGGACACGGUCCAGAGUCCUACGAGAGGCAGCAGUAGGGUAUCUUCCGCAAUAGGCGAAAGCCUGACGGAGCAACGCCGCGUGAGUGAUGAAGGUCUUCGGAUCGUAAAAAUCUGUUAUUAGGGAAGAACAUAUGUGUAAGUAACUGUGCACAUCUUGACGGUACCUAAUCAGAAAGCCACGGCUAACUACGUG
rnacentral:rRNA from 1 species